AGUGGUCAUGGUCAAUGGGACCAUGCAUGGAAGGAAAACCAUGUAAACCCCUGAGGGGCAGUGGCUACACAUCCAUGGGGUGUAGAAUGGAGAUGUCAGGCGUUUCCUCCCUCCACUACCCUAGGUGUUCACCUUGGGCAAGUGAUAUCCCACCUCUAGCCUCCCAUUGCCCUAGGUUACAAGAUAGCGUCAGAUAAAAACUUGGCGACAAUGAGCCCUUGGCAAGGGUGAUACCCCGAUCUAUUGAUCGUUAAUACCGCAUUGAAUUAUGCGGGGGGACCAAGAAGCCCUUAUCUAUACAAGAGCAAGUAAGAAAUAAAAGAACAAUACUUUCAUUUGAACAUAUCUAUAUUGAUUAGGUAUUCCAACCUCCAUCAUCUCACAUACCCUUAUCGGCUUAACCUGCCUUUCACCACUUUACCUGCCUCCAACUGGCUAGCCUGUACUUCAGUGACUUACCCAUUCCUCGUUAAUUUACACUCAUCAGCUUCCAUUCUGUAACAGUCUUAACUUCCCUAACUGGCUACCUUCAAGAAUGGAAGGAAAACCUUACAAACCAUCCUUAAUCAAAAAAAUGGACAACAAAACCAUGCAUGGAAGUAAAACCAUGGAAUUGAAACCAUUCAAACCAUCAAAGGAAAACCAUUGCAGUGUUUGCCUUGGACAAGUGAUAAGACACCACUAGCCUCCCUUUUCUCUUUUCUAAGAACAAAAACCCUUACUGCCAAUACCACCCUCGGCAUUUCUGGGUUGCCCCACAGUGAAUCCAAAGUAAAGGUGAACAAUACUGAUGGGAAAAUGCACCUGGAGAUUGUUUAAAUUUUUCACUGCAUUUUAUGCAGGUGCUUGCACAUCCUUUUCCAAUGCUUUAUGCUUGUGGCAGUUGGUUGUCAAAUAUGGAGUGGAAUAUUGGACAUCCCUUUACAGAUAUAUUUUCUUAUUCUGCUGUGCUGUCUUGUUGAAAUAAAUUUGAUCCAGGAUCUUUUUAA